rnacentral:rRNA from 1 species
CAGUCGCCACGGUAAUACGUAGGUGGCAAGCGUUGUCCGGAAUUAUUGGGCGUAAAGCGCGCGCAGGUGGUUUAAUAAGUCUGAUGUGAAAGCCCACGGCUCAACCGUGGAGGGUCAUUGGAAACUGUUAAACUUGAGUGCAGGAGAGAAAAGUGGAAUUCCUAGUGUAGCGGUGAAAUGCGUAGAGACUAGGAGGAACACCAGUGGCGAAGGCGGCUUUUUGGCCUGUAACUGACACUGAGGCGCGAAAGCGUGGGGAGCAAACAGGAUUAGAUACCCCCGUAGUCCCUGUCUCUUAUAA